UCCUUAAAGGUGCUGAACGAUGUUGUU
rnacentral:piRNA from 1 species